UACGUAGGGUGCAGGCGUUAAUCGGAAUUACUGGGCGUAAAGCGUGCGCAGGCGGUUUCUUAAGUCAGAUGUGAAAGCCCCGGGCUUAACCUGGGAACUGCGUUUGAAACUGGGAGACUUGAGUGUGGCAGAGGGGGGUGGAAUUCCACGUGUAGCAGUGAAAUGCGUAGAGAUGUGGAGGAACACCGAUGGCGAAGGCAGCCCCCUGGGGUAACACUGACGCUCAUGCACGAAAGCGUGGGGAGCAAACAGG
rnacentral:rRNA from 1 species